ensembl:lncRNA
AUGGCGAAAUCAACGAAGAAAACGAAAUAUUACACACAUGAAGAAGCCCUCGCUUUGAUUUUGGCUUCAUCCGAGGACAGCGAAGACAGCCAAUAUGAUUCUGAGAUAGAGGAGAUGUUCAAGCAACAAUUGGACGAAGUCUUAGAUCGGUCAAUGUCUGAGGACAGUGAUGCGGAUUGGGAGCCGCAAAGCCAGACAGGCAGACCCCCGGCCCCCACUCCUACUGAAGGUGGUCGUGAGAGAUCCGGUAGUGUCUCAUCACAUGACAAUAUCUCAAUAUGGCCAUAUCAAAUGAAUGUGUGAAAAAAUUAUGUUUUGAAUCAUGGAGAAAGGUUUUAUAGUCACCAAAAUGCUUCAGUAAUGUUUCCAGUGUCACAGAAGUGAGUAAAUGCAUUUGGCACAAUUUGGCCAUUUUGGAGACAUUUUGGAGAGGUUUGGGCCGCCAGUGACCACACACCAUAAAAACUCCAUUAACUCCCAAAGCUUUAGGCCUAGAACUCCAAAUUUUUUUCCAGGUGUAGUUGGCAUGAUGUAGAAGGUAUUUGGCAUAUUGCCAUAUGCCUUACAUAAAGCACAUCCUAGUUAUUGUAGUUCAAAUAUGACCCAUUAUUUUCGAAGACAAAAAAAUUGCUUUAGAGCCAUGUCUGAACUGAUGUCAUUUAGGUUGUGUGUAUGACACAUGCCAAAUAAACAUAUCUACAGAAACUAGAGCUUGUCAGCUUUCAAAUGAAGUAUCAUACAUCCAUCUAGGACUUAGGGUUACUGUGUUAUAAGCUUUUCCAUUUGGGUAUGUGUUUAGGCGAAAAAAACCAAAAUACUGCCGGACCUUAACAGGUUAAAAGAGGCCUAUGUGUAGUCACCUUUGCAGGAGUGAAGAGAGUAUUGUGUUUAGAGAAAAGGAUAACAUGAACGUUAUGGCAUAUUUGGCUAUAACAUGUAAAAUUGUUAGGUUAGGUUACCAAUUUCUACAGGAUUUUGUGUUGGACCAUUUAAAAACAAAUGCAACUCAUACUGUUGGACCCAGAUAGACAGUGUUUAAAAUUUGAU